rnacentral:rRNA from 1 species
UACGGAGGGGGCUAGCGUUGUUCGGAAUUACUGGGCGUAAAGCGCACGUAGGCGGUUUUUCAAGUCAGAGGUGAAAGCCCGGGGCUCAACUCCGGAAUUGCCUUUGAAACUGGGAGACUUGAUCACGGGAGAGGUGAGUGGAAUUCCGAGUGUAGAGGUGAAAUUCGUAGAUAUUCGGAAGAACACCAGUGGCGAAGGCGGCUCACUGGACCGUUGAUGACGCUGAGGUGCGAAAGCGUGGGGAGCAAAC